CCCGUCCAGAAUGCCCGCGUCUUUACCUGCUGAGCAUGCGCACUGUGAACCUGGGCACUGAGCGAGUUGAAUAGAGUGGUUUCUAGGGCGCAGGGAAUUGUGGGACCUUUAGCCGCCAUUAGUGAGUGACGAUCGGAGAGGAGCGGUGACCUUAAAGAGUGAGGGGUACAAGGUCAGAGACCAAAGUGGAACCUGGAGCCAGCACAUGAGGAGUGGUGGCCUUGGUGCUUAUCCAACUUCUUUCUGAAAGACUUUGUUGCAUCAGUUUGAGCUGGAGUCGAUGAAGAGUAUUUGAAGGGGAGG